ACUGCCAACAAAAUAACUUAUGGAGUAGUGUUUUCCCUGGAGACCUCACAUGAGUAACAACAGAAGAAAGUGUUUCCGGGAGAAUUAUCCUGGUUUAUAUUUAGCCUGGAUUGACCUAUUUCAGCGUGCAGUCAUAUGUACACCCUCCUACCUGGCCUCAUCCUCCCUGGGAGCUGCUGAGUGAGUGUUCCUGUGGUCACAGAAUGCAACAUGCACGGAGGAACCUCUAAUGAAAGACACCAGACAAAGAUUUUAUGUCUGACUGAUUCAAUAGGAAACCAAAAAAAUCAACAGUUACCUGGUUAAUGUGUAUUCCCUGAGUCCUGAGUGAAGGUUCAUGGCUGAGAAGGUCCCGAUGCAGCCACGAAGCCGCUUGUCUCGCCCCGUCUUCCACGUCACAAAGAGUGGACUGGAAAGGAAAAAAACAAAAGAAACCUUCCAGCCCCUAGGGAUAUUUGGCUGCUAAGAGGAGAGUACCAAGGUGUAAAAGAGCACAUGCACAUGCCCUUGCUUUCUCUCUCUCCAGUGAACCCCAAAAGGCAGGUUUGCUCACCUGCUGCCCAGCAAUGCCCAAACCUCGUGCCCACCCCCUGCCACACUCCAUCAUCUCCCUCCACCUUUUCAGCAUACUCACUCCUCUCCAGCAGUGCUCUGCAAGUCAUCCAUGGACACCUUCUUGGACAGAUUCUGCACUGAAUCUAAUGAGGGAUAUGGUUGUUUGACCCCACUGAGUACCUGUCAGUAUUGGCUGCACUUCACAGCAUCCACUAAUUUACAGGACAGCCCAUAUAAAAAUCAAUAUAGGUGAAGCAAAUAAGAUUAGUUACUUAUGGUACCAGUGAACCUGAAAGAUCCUCAGGCAUUCUGCAAUUCAUCUAUAAAUCAGAUUUGCA